CCCCGGGCUCCGCCGGGUAUAAAGAGGCGGCAUGGCCCUGACGCGGGUAGAGCGCGGAGGCGGCAGGGGCUCUGGAGUGGAGUUACGGCCACCGCAGCUGGCAUCUGCUGCUCCGCUCUUCUCCCCGGGAACUCUUCUUCCCUGCGGGUGUCCACCCUACCCCAUGUGGGCCCCACGGAUCUACAGACCCCAGGUGAACAGAGGAUUUGCCUUCCGUGCUUUCCUGGAGGUAGUAGAGGGUUUUCCCGGAGCAGAGUGUGGGCUCGUGGCGGUGAUGUGCAGCGAAGAAAGGCGAACAGCUGCGGGCUGUCGGGGUGCGCGCCCACCCCGGGGACUGCGCUGCCGCCCGGGACCCCCGCCCGCGCUCCUGCCCCUCCCUCGGGUCCGCGGCGCAGAGGCGGGCGCUGGCGGCGCGUGGGUCUUGGACCGACGGCGGGGAAAGGGACGGGGGCGCCGGACCUCCUAACGUGGAUUACUUGGUGUAUCCGCUGGGCUUGGAGGACCCACCGCCUCGUCUCCAUCCGUGGACUGAUUCAUUCCACCCAGCAGCCGGUCGCCGACCUGGAGGUGAAAUCAGAGGUUUCCAGUUGGCUUGGUGGUUGUUUGUACCCAUGAAGGAAGGACGAGAAGCAAGGGACUCUGGGAACAAGAAUCAAGUCCCGAUCUGAGUGUCAGCAGUGACGAGGAUGAGCUCACCCAGGGACCAGAGCCAUCCAGAGGACUCGAGAAUGGAACUUCCCCUCAGGGUCCAACUAAAACUGUAAAACAACAAGGACUAACUGAUGACAGAAGAACCUUCUGCCUUACAUAACUGAAAUCCAGAGGAAGGCCGCCCCAAACUAGAGUUGCAGCACUGGAGUGACCAGGGAUUCAGGAUUCCAUCUGCUUGUUAGACCAUCUUAGUACAUGGCUUCCAUCUUACAUGUCUCUUGUAGACCAGAGUGGCUGCUGGAGCACCAGCCAUCAUGUCCUUUUUGAAAAUAGAAACCAUAAAGACAGACGACAGGUGCAGGAAGGAGAGUGAGGCAGCUGCCCCUCGGCCACCGGGAAGCACCAGGAACCACUGCAUGCCCAGCAGCACCCCUCGAAGUGCCUGGCUAAGGCCAGCACCCGUCUCAAGAGACAAGAGCUCUGGAUCCAUCAAGGAUUCUUACUUUGGAGAAUAUAGGAACUUCUGGCCCUGUGGAGAUGUUUGGGUAGAAAGCAAAGACCCUCGACUGAAGGACCAGCUUGUGUGUGGACCUGAGCUAGCAGAAGACGUGAGGCGAAGGGGGCCUGUGACUCAGAGGGCUUGCCAUCACAGACUGGGGCCCUCUUUCCUUCGGCUGACAUCCUCUUCGGCUGCCUGCUGCUGGCAUCUUCCCCGCCCAGCCCCUGCAUCCCUGUUUCCCCACACCCUCGCCGCCCGCCCCACCUCCCACACCUGCCUGCCUUUGCACAGAGCGAUCCCUCGUGUUUGCUCCACUAUCGUCCAGCCGGAUGCUGAGUGAAUAGUUAACCACACUUGGGGCAGACAGGAUCUUAGUUUUCCUGCUCCUUCUACAGAGGCCAGCGUUGGUGCAUUGCAAGUGGCCUGGGGAGAGUUUUGGGAUCUGGGCCUGCAGGUUCCGGAGUGGCACAGGAGUCAGUGUGAAUGCUCUUCUGGGUCUCGGGCCCACAGGGAGAGGUGUGGGCAGGAAAGCAGGGUGCUGAGCUCUGGUCCUCUUCUUCAUGCUCAGUUUGCUUGAUGUGGGUCACACACAGAAACAUGUCUGCAGGGCCAGUGAGUCCUGUGGUUCAUCCCAGCAGUCGUCUUUGACACACAUCCGCAGUCAGCUGUGAAGACCCGCCCCCUUUGAUGGCACUGGUGCCUUGUCGGAUCAUGGUGCUUGGUGACUUAGUGACACACAAGCCAGCUACCAGGUGUGGUUGUUUUGUUGAGGACCUUGUUCCCCAGUUUCUCCAGGUCACCCACAUGCCUGACUACCACUUCAGGCUUCUCUGUUCCCUUUACUCUGUGACUGCUGCAUGUGUGGUUGAAAACCCUUCCUCAGUAUCUGCCAUGGCCCAGUGUUGUCCAACACACAGGGUCAGAAACAUUUGUGCUUUCUUAUUUGCAAAGAGGAGGACAGUCUGCUUUGUUGGAAGAGCCAGUGUCCCUGCAUUUGUGGAUGAUGAGUUUGUGCGGCCAUUUAGUGACUUCAGUGUCUUCUAUGAGAGCAAUAAGGACAUUCCUGGCAUCUCAGGUUCACCACAAAGUGACCUCCUGAAGAUGUUUGGUGCUACUGAAGCAUAAAGAUUGUUUAUAGGUGUUGUUCUCCCUUCUUUGCACACAUACCAGUGCCAGCCUUGGUGUUUGGUUUCUUUAGGUUUCAAGGAACCUUUGCAAAUGCUGGUCUAUUCCAAAGUCACAAUGGAAGAAAGGCAGAUGGGAAACAGUGCCAGCAGCUGUCCCAAAGCCCAUAGCCAUCCGGCAUACCCAGUAGCUAUAGGCAGUUUCCAGGGAUACAGGGACAGCAGAACAAUGGCAUCACUGUCACCACCCAGUGGGACUCACUGCCCCUAACCCGGAAUUCUGCUGUUACGAUGCGCUGGGCUUUAGGGAUUGACUGUCCCAGUAUGCCCAGAGCUGGGGUGUCUUGGGACAAAUGACUUUCAGGGCUGAACCUGGGACAGGCCUGGGCAAACUGGAAUAAUUGGUCAACCUACCAGGUCACUCAAGGACUCUGCUUCUGCUCAUGUUUCACCUCUGUGACCAAUGAAUGCACUUGGUUGGUUUGGCCAGUUGGCACUGGGAGCUGUGGGUCUGAUUGUUUCACUGGCCACUGCAAAGCCUAUAGGUGGGUGCCUCUGGACCAGGCACCAAUCCUGACCAAACCAGCUGUUUCUGGGAUGGUAGGGUUGCAUGUUAUUGAACAAAAACCCGGGUAUGAUGAAAUGGCUGAGACCUUGUCCUUCUGAGAACACUGUGGAUAGAUAGUAGAUAGGGCGGGAAUUCGGGGUAUUGGAAUUGCUGUCUGAUACAAUCCUACUUAAAACAGUGACACUACCCUUUAGCAUUAAAAACACAACAGUUUAUUAAAGAAACAAUGACCAACAGCCACUGGGAACAGUGGGAAAUAAAUGGACCAUGACGUAUGUGGGUGUUCGUGUGUGCGUGUGUGCACACACAUUCUCAAGCAUGUAUGUACUGCAUAGAAGGAAUCAAGAACAAGAUUCUGCAUCUUUGCUAGACAGAGACAAAGAGCUGAAAUCUUGGCAAUGGUGUUGUCUGGAAAGCGAAGAAGUUGGCUAGAGGACUUCCUGAAAUUCCUUUGAACUCUAGAAUUAUUUAAAAUAUCAAGGGCGUGUAAACUGGGGCUAAGUGUGUACUUUCCUUCUGAAGUCUCCUAGAUAACCUUUGAGUGCGAUUCCGAGCAUGUGGAGUGGGACCUCCCAGCUCAUUCUUACCUUUCCAGAUCACUGACUUUAUCUGGGAUCAGGGAGCGGAACUUGGAGGCAGGAGUAGGGGCGGGGGGCGGGAAACAGAGUUGUGCCAGCCCGAUUUUUUGGUGUUCAUGACAAGUAAGAACAAUCGGCAGGCAAAUUACAGGUUCUUUUGCAGGUUAGAAAAGCCGGGUUUUCAGGAUCACACAGCAUCCUGAAGUUGUCACUGCUUGUCGGGGGAUUCAGCCUCCAUUUUUCUGCUGAAAGACAGGCAUGCACGUCUUCGGGGCUGGAACACGGGCCUUCAGCUAAUCCCACUCAUCUGGCGUGCUGUGGCCACAGUGAGGUAAUUACAUGCUAGGGUAGAGAGGAGUGUGAAGCAUCCAGACUGUUCCCAUUACUUGUGAUUCCCCAUGCACCCUGUGUUUGGUUCUGAACCCGCUCUCCCUCCCUUCGCUGCCCCAGGAGGAAUGCCAGCCCCACUCAUUGGGUGCAGUUUUUCUCUUUGAAAAGAUGAAUGCAUUUCACCUGUUCUCGUCAUCUGUGUCCUGCAUUCAUUCAUUGCUUCCAGCAGAAUCGUGCUAUCAGGCCAAAGGCAACAAUCUCCCCCUGGUCCCUUCUUCUCAUCUUAGAAUCCCAGAAUCCCAGAGGCCGAAGUGGUCCUCAGCAUCCUGCUGCUCAGGAUGGACUCUGCCUAGGGCAGGAAUCCCUUUCAAACAUCUGGUGUGGGAUCCUCUGGCCCAGGGAGGCAGCUGUUAGGCAGAGUUGGAGAUGAGGUUGAAGGCUGGAUGGCACUGAACCUGGUGGGGAAGCAGGAGAAAUUUACAGAGUAGUGCAUGUCCGCAAAGUGGGACAAGUAUCAGUGUCGUGAGAUUUGAACCAACUGCCUCCUGCCCUGUGCCCCACCUCUAUAUGUCUCUUAUUUCUAGAUCUAGGAGGGGGUCUGGAGCUGGUAAAAAAGUACAGGCCGAGGGAAGCGAAAGACCCAAGUUUUUGUCUCAGAAAGUCCCCUCUCUGACCUCCUUCUUGUAAAAUGAUGGGGUCAGGUACAAGAUCCGGGGACCCUCUCCUAGCUAUGUCUUCCAUGCUACUGUUACAUUUGACACAUACGCCAUCAGCUUUCUUGGAGUUCCUGUCUUCAAGAUUUGCUAUUUGUUCUGUAUUAGAAAGGCAUGUUAAGCUGGAUGUGGCAGCGCACAGCUGUAAUCCAAGCACUCUGGGAGACUGAGGCAGGAGGAUCAUAAGUCUGAGCCUGGGCAGCUUAGGGACUUAGUGAGACUAUGUGUCCAGAAUAGAAACACAAAAAGGGCUGGGAGUGCACCUCAGCACUAAGGUUUUGGGUUCAUGCCUCAGUACUGCCAAAGUAAAAGCAGAAAAGCAUGGUAGACACUCCGCAGGGUGCAGCGUAGUAGUUACCCCAUCCUGGACCGAACACGUUCAUCUUGCCUCAGUUCGUUAUGAGCACAGCUUAAUUUCACAGUCACUGCUCACCCUCACCCUGAGAGCUCAGGCUCUCCUAGAAGCAUUUUCUGUGGCAUUGAAAUGCGACCCACAGCAGUACUGUAGUCCUUGUCAGAUGGCCCUGGAAAUCUGGGUGGGAAAAUGUGGGUCUUGUUGCCAGAGAGACCGGAGGUUCCCAUGGGAAAGCGAGACCCCAGGCUCCAGAGGCCAUGGUUUAGAGGACAUGGGGUGACUUUAGAAAUGGCCCUUGGUCUUCGGUAAGACCCUUCCAUUCCAGGUUGAGGGCAGCCAGGUCGGGGGAGGCCUGAAGAGAGCCCCUGGAUAGUAACUAGUCUUCUUUGGCUUCACGGAGCUCCAAGGUCAUGGGUAAAUCAUCGAAGCCCUUUCUCUGGGUCUCAGUUUUUCUCAUCUGUAAAAUGGGAGAUGGGAGAAAAGAAGUUGGUAUGAUGGUCCCCUAAGGCUCUUCCUUUGUCACCUUCCCAGCUUGCCUGACGCAGUAGUAGCUUGUGUCCUUUCGGCUUUGACUGCACAAGUCAAAAGCAGGCCUGUCUGGGGCAGUCCGUCACCGAAGGAUACUUCAAAGCUGUUUGCACAUGCCGUCGGUUGCACUGAACAUGAAUUUGUUGAGGAAGAAGGCAAACAGACCCAGAGCUGAUGACAAGAGGGAGAAGGAGGGGGACUGUUUACCCCCUGGGGGACUGGGAGGAAAGAAGAAAAAAAAUUCCCUGCCGUUUUGACCAAUAAAUAAAAACUGGGAGCUCUGCAUGGCUCAAACCAUGGGGGAUUUAUUAGUUUGCUUAGUGAAAGGCAAAUAUUAAGUCUGAAGCUGACCCAUCCCGGGACCUGCCUUUUGGCUUUUGUAUGCCGUCAGGUGCCGAUCACUGGGUCCGGGUACUCGGGGUUAUCAAAUUCUGUCAAAGGUCUUUUUUCUUUUAAUUGUUUUCCAUCUCCUUCCUCCUUCGCCCACCCCUUCCCCUUGCCUCCCGCAUUUCCUGGUAACUCAGGUCUGGAUUUUGGAGGAGCUGGAAGCCUUGUUCUGCCCGAGAGAGUGCUUGUCUGUGGGGCUCCGGCUGGUCUGGCCCUGCCCGUGCUGGUGAGCACACCACUUGGCCCUGGCCUCCUCGCACCAGCCUCUUUGAUCUGUUCAGGACUGAACAUCAGGUCUCAGAGACUGAACGUGAGGCAGAGGACACAGCCCUCAUUACACUUAGAAUAAGCAUCGUUACAAGCAUCAGAAAACAGCAGGUCUCGGGUGUUUCUAAGCUGUGACUCCUCUAUUCCAGGUGGCCGUGGUUCCCUACCUGUGGCAGGUGACAGAGAUGAGUCGCUUGAGGAGAGGAACUGGCCAGGCCUUUGACUCACCCUAGAGUGACUUGUCUAUAGGGGUGGGACGGUGUGUCCAGGUUCCAAGUGUGCCCCACUGAAAGACUGAAACAAGAUUGGGCCCUUCUUACCGCUCUGCCCUACAGCACCGCAGUUCCGGAUGCUCAGGUCUCAGGUGGGCACAGCACAGCGGGGCACACUGCUCCAUGCCAGCUCCUGAGUGCCCUUCCAGGUGACCGGCCGUGGAAGGUGCAUCUCACUGGUCUUCCCAGGACAUCCCAGUUCUCCACCUGUUACUCAUGCAGCCCAGAGCUGAGGGUGUUCCGGAUCUGCUUAAUUCCGCGAGUUCCUUCCUCACUCCAGGAUGAGUCUUCAUGAAAUGCAAUGCAUCAGCUUUUCCUCACCCUAACAGAUACCUGAGAUAACCAGUCUGUAAGAGGAAAGAGUGAUUGAGGCUCACAGUUGUGGAAGUUCAGUCCAUAACUUGGCAGACCUAGUGCUUUAGGGUUCUGGUGUGGGGCAGCCCAUCCUGGUGGGAGUGCAGGGCCGGGUGGAAUCACUCACCUCAUGGCCCAGAAGCAAACGCAAAUGGGAAGGGAUGAGGUCCUGAGACCUUGUUAAGGGCCUCCCCUCAAUAACCUGAAGCCCUCCACUGGUGCCACCUCUGAAAGUCUCCACCUCUUUCCAGUGUGCCAAGCUGGGGACCAAGCCUUCCCCACGUGGCCUUGAGGGAACCUUGCCCUCAGCCGUACUUCACGGAGGAGCCUGUUUGUGGGCACCUAUGCUAUGGAGAGCCUGUGGACACUUCCAGACUUGUCACAGAUUCUCCCUUCUCCAGGAAGGCUUCCUGGAUUUCUCCUUCCUUCUCAACCAGUUGUGACCUGUCUCUCACAUAUUCUUUUAAAGCAUGGGUGUCAUAUACAUACCAAAAAAUGCUGCUUCCCUCCUUCCUUGACCAUAGUACUUUAGUAUCUCAUUUACUACGCUCAAACUGGACUUCUUUUGGGUACCCUCUUCUCCCUUCCUCCCCACCCACACCCCAUAAGAAUGGGAACUGAUGCGUUGGGUUGGGUUGUUCCUUAUUCAUUGAAAUGUAUUCCUGAAAUUUCUAAUGAUACACAGAUCACAUGGCAAUUCCUCUGAUAGGGAUUUCACAUAGUCACCCAUAAAAUCAUCAGAGGACAUUGGGACACAGAGACAGGGGAAUCAGUUGCCUUGACCAAGUCUCGCACGUGAUUGUUAGGAUUCAGAGCCAGGGCCAUUGAGCAUCUCAAGUUCACAGCUGGUAAACUCGUGGUACGGUGGCUUCUACAUGGUAAAUAGAGAGCUAUUGACUUGGCUUUUCCUAUGUGUAAUCUGCUACUUAUGUAUCCCAGCAUUUGCCUAUUUUUGUUUGUCUGCUAUUGAUCAAUAAAGUGAUGUCUGAACGCCAGAGGA
ensembl:lncRNA